AAUGGAUCUGUACAAAGCAGAGGAUGAAUUGGCUUCUUUAACCAGAACCAGAGGCAGCGCACCUGGCCGGGCGCCCGAAGCAUCACCAGGCUCCUCUGAAAGGCCUGCCCCUCCGGAUUUCCAGCAAGUUCAUCACCAUGACGUGGACACUGCACUAGCCACUGGCCCUGCUUGCUGUCCACCCAGCUCGGUGCUGGAUCAGCAGGACCACCUUGUGUACCAGAGAGUGACUCAGGACAGCUCUGGCCGUCCUGAACCGCAGCGAAGAGAACCACACACAUGCAGACUGGGUGCCUUUGCUUCACACGCUGGCCAGCCGUCCAGACGAACGAGGUGCAUCGCGUUCUCUUCCCAACUGGACACGGAGGAGGGGAGGGAAGUGUUUGUGGCAGAGAGAAGUGCCCCGAGGCUCCCUGACCUGCAAAGCUCCCGAAGAGCGCAAGCUGUCUGCUAGGUGCUGCCAGGAGGUUGGGUCUGCGUUUCGAGCAUUUACAUCACAUGCAGUGGGAGCAGCAGAGAGCAUGUAGGAUACGGGGACGUGCUCUUUGUGGAGUUCGAGUGACCUUUCAAGAGACAGUGCAGCAAGGAGUGCAGCAAGGACAGGAGGUGGCGGGAAGGCCGGCCCUGACCCCACGGCCCGAGCUGGGACGGAGGAGCACAUCGAUGGAGCACUAACCGAGAAAAGAGGGCCAACAGCUGGAGGCCACAGCCCAGGACCCUGCCCCGCUCCUUGAGCCUGCAGUCACCCCACAGCACACACCCAUGAGCCCAGAGGGCACCUGGGGUCACUGCAGGCAAACCUGCCCAAGGGGACAGGCCGAACUGCAGGGGCCUGGGGGCUGGUCAUCCGGCUCCCAGGUGGCAUCCUUCCCACCCCCCCCAAACCCUGUCAGCACAGAGAACGGGUGAGUCAGGGGUGCCAGGGACCCAAGGGAGCCCCGUGUGCAGGGGUGCAGAAGACAAUGUCCACAGACGCCACGCCGGGGCGUCACGGGGCCUGGAACCUGCAGAGCUGGGAGAAACGACGUUAUCCCUCAUCUGCAGAUAAGGAAACAGGCUCUCAGAGUCUGGGUGCAGAUCAAGGCAAGUCUGCAACUGGACACAAGACAGGACCCUACUCACCCCUCCUGUGACCCAGGGGCGGACAGCACCCGCAGCAUCACAGGCUUCUCUGUCAUUGUCUGUGAGGGAGCGAGUGAAGUGAGCCGAGGGCUUAGCGAGCGCUGAGGAUGGGGACGCUGCCCUGAGAGCUCUUUGCAGGACUGGCAGAGGCGAGGCGCGGGGCGGCGCGGAGCCGUGGGGGGCUCAGCUAAAGGCAGCGCCACGCUCACUGUGGGGCAGCCCCUGCCAGCCCUGAGCUUGCUGAGGUCCAUCGUUUGUUUUCUCAGCUGCGUGACAGACUACGUUUAGCAGCUCUGUUCUGUGCAGCGAGCUUUAGACAGAAAUAAACAGGAUGGACACGGAGAGGACACAGUAUUUAACUGUGGGUCACAGAGCCUGUUAUGGGUCGCUGAUAGACUGGACCACAAAAUAAGGAUUGGAACUCAGUGCAGAGACGAUGGGCUGGACCUCAGAGCUGAUAUUCCCAAGGCUGAGCACAGAGUCACUUGUUCAGGGAAUGGCCCCUGGGUCUCAGGACCCACGCUCCCUCCUGGGGCUGCAGAGAUGCUGAUGUUUGAGCUCUGUUGUCAAGAAACAAGCAGGCUUUCUCGGCUAGAGGCGGCAGGGUAAAGCUCUCGGGAGGAGAGAGUGGGCGGGGUGACCCAGAAGGCCCAGGACGUGCGUCUGGGGAUGGGGAGCUGGCCGUGCCCCUGUUUGUGGCAUAAAUGUGCCUUGAACAUGCCCAGGUGCCAGGCGACGGCUCCAUGGGGAGCUGCCACUUACAGGAGGCGUCUCGUUUGCAGAGAGUGGGGUGUGCGUGUGCCGAUGGCUGUGGAAGGAAGGGGCAGAGUAACAGGGCAAUUUGAGGAGGUAACAGCAGGGACGGCACUGAUGUCUCACAGAGCUGGGCGUCCAGGAGGGCGUGUCCGGGUUCCCCAGGUGGUUCCUGUUCCAGCCCCUAAAGCCCUGAGUCCUGGGACGGCCCGGAUGGGUGGGCAGCUAGCAGAGAAGGCUUCUCGGAGGAGGUGGCCGCCACCCCUAAAUGUCAUGGGGGCCGUGGGCCAGCUCCCCAAGGCUCGGGGCAGUUUAAAGAGGCUGCGCUGUGAGCAGGAAGGCUGCAGGAGUGCCCUCCAUGCCGCCCCAUGAAGUCUCGCCCCCGUCCAUGCCCCAGCCCCACCCUGGGCAUCAGGACAGCAGCGGGCAGCUGGGGGCCUCUGGGAUGUGGUGGGGCUGUGGCUGUGCCCGGCCCCCUCCCUGGAGCAGCAGCCCCUCCACCUGCCCCGCUGGAGGGCCCCCUCACGCCUCCCUACUCCCUUCCAGCCCCAGCUCCUGACGCCCUGGGCACUGCCCUCUGUUUUCCCCACGGGCGACAGGGUCCCGUGGACGGCACUCCUGGCAGGCCAACGCUGUCCCCACUUACGGGCCACACAGCUGCCCCACCUCCCCCAACGCUGUCCAUACUGGGUUGCGGGGCUCCAUAAGGAUGGGCCUGGAGCCUGACAGGACCCGGGACCCGUUUUCAUCACCACCGAAACCCAGAGGCCUUCAUGCCCCUCCUGGUCCCAUAGGUCCCAGGUCCCAAAGCCCCUGAGCCGCCCAGAGGUGCCCUCCCUCGGGACGGGAUGGAAGAACAGGCUGACUGCCGGGAGGCCAAGCACUGCCUAAGCUUGGGGCUCCAGAGAAGCUUCUAGAAAACAGUUCCAGCCCUGGAAGCUCUCAAGAUAGACUCAAGCUGCCAGAAUUCAGCCACUGGAGUGGACUGUCCAUCCCGGCAAGAGCUGUGGAGAGGGCCAGGGCUGCGAUCAGAGGUCGGGGUCAGGGGGCCCCCAGGUCGAUGCAUCAGCUCUGAGCAUUCCCGGCCCGGAUGGGCUCUCUGCUGCCCCAGGACUGAGCAGGCUCUGUGCCCUUGUUAACUGGAGACAGUGGCUAAGCCGCUGCCCGCUUCCUGCAUUCUGGACUUGAGAGAAGCCCCAGCACCUUCAGAGAGGCCUCAGGACCUUUAGAGAGGCCCCAGGACCUUUAGAGAGGCCCUAGCACCUUCAGAGAGGCCCCAGCACCUUCAGAGAGGCCUCACCUUUAGAGAGGCCCCAGGACCUUUAGAGAGGCCCCAGCACCUUCAGAGAGGCCUCAGGACCUUUAGAGAGGCCCCAGGACCUUUAGAGAGGCCCUAGCACCUUCAGAGAGGCCCCAGCACCUUCAGAGAGGCCUCACCUUUAGAGAGGCCCCAGGACCUUUAGAGAGGCCCCAGCACCUUCAGAGAGGUCUCAGGACCUUUAGAGAGGACCCAGGACAUUUACAGAGGCCCCAGGAUCUUCAGAGAGGCCCCAGCACCUUCAGAGAGGCCUCAGGACCUUUAGAGAGGACCCAGCACCUUCAGAGAGGCCCCAGGAUUUUUAGAGAGGCCCCAGCAUCUUUAGAGAGGCCCCAGCACCUUCAGAGAGGCUCCAGUACCUUCAGAGAGGCUCCAGGACCUUCAGAGAGGCUCCAUGCCUUUAGAGAGGCCCCAGCACCUUCAGAGAGGCCCCAGGACCUUUAGAGAGGCCCCAGGACCUUUAGAGAGGGCCCAGCACCUUCAGAGAGGCCUGAGUGCCUUUAGAGACGCCCCAGUGCCUUCAGAGAGGCCUGAGUGCCUUUAGAGAAGCCCCAGGACCUUUAGAGAGGCCCCAGGACCUUUAGAGAGGCCCCAGCACCUUCAGAGAGGCCCCAGGACCUUUAGAGAGGCCCCAGGACCUUUAGAGAGGGCCCAGCACCUUCAGAGAGGCCCCAGCACCUUCAGAGAGGCCCGAGUGCCUUUAGAGAAGCCCCAGUGCCUUCAGAGAGGCCUGAGUGCCUUUAGAGAAGCCCCAGGACCUUUAGAGAGGCACAGCGCCUUUAGAGAGGCUCCACACCUGUGAUGCUUGCUAGAGACUCGGAUGUGGACAGCGUGUCACGAUUCCCGACAGGCGCUGCCCAGGGUAGGGUUUGAGGGUCCCACACGGGGGCAAGUGGGGGACAGGCCCUGGGCCCCAGUGUCUGGCCUGCACACGGCACAGAAGCGCACAUGACAGGAGCUGAGCUGGGAGAUGGGUCAGAACAUGCGUGGUGUGGGCCAUGUUCCUUGUCCUUCCCUACGCGAAGCCAGCAGGUCUGCCAGGCACGACAGGUUUCCAUGGAAACCACUUGGUCCGCUGGGCCGUCUCAGUGCUGCUGCCAUGGAAGCAUGUUGUCCUCUGGGUGAUGGGCCUCAUUACGAGCGGGGGAGACCGUGGGCUUCCAGCUCACGUCCGCGCCCGCGGCCCACCCCCUCCUGGAGGCUGUCUCUGAGCUGCUUACCCCUGCGUCACCAGGCCUGGUGUCGGGCGCUUUACAGAGAGGAGGAAAGAUGCUGUAAGCUGUCAAGUGCCUGGUGCGAACAGGUCAGCAAGAAGGAGCCGGUGGUCAUUAUGGAAUCAGAGGCUGGGGGCGGGGAGAGAGCCGCCAGGGAGGGGCCCGUAACCACCGCCUACUGCCCACCACCCGCCAACCAGGGUACGGAGGAGGCCCGGGCCCCCAGAGCCCCACGCAGACCUGCCUUUGGCGUGGUCCCCCGUCUCCUGGCCCUGUUCCCCAUCCACGCCCCCCAACACCACACACAGUGCACACACCACACACAUUGCACACAGCACACACAUGUACACACACAUGCACACACGCGCACGCAUGUACAUACACCACACAUACCCGACCCACAUCAUGUACACACGUGUACACACACAUGUACACAUACCUGACCCCCAUCAUACAGACACACAUCACAUCCAACAUGCACACCACGUAGACACCCCCACGUCUGCACACACAUCGCAGACACAGAGCCCACAGUUUCAGACAGGACAGGACACGCUGACCAUCCCUGUGAACCAGCUUCACAGGAAGCGCCCUGGGGGUGGUGAUGAGUGGAACACAGUCCUUACCGGUCACACAGGGCACCUACCCAAGUGGCCUCACAUAGCUUUCAUGUAAUUUCAAGAAGAGCUUAUUUGUUAAUCGAGUUUCCAAAGAACCACAACCAGCAACCAAACAGCAGUCUCCUGAGCAUCCGCAGGUGUCCCCCCAACCCCGCCCUCUUUUAACCCCGGGGGGCUGUGGGCCCCUUGCACCUUCCUAGUCGGACCAUUUAAGGGCACAGGGGAGCAGGGUCCAGCCAGCUAAGUGUUGGUGUCAGCCAGGAAAUGUCAAAAAUAUGAGAGGAAAAACUAGAGAGUGAAAAAUGGAAUGUGAGGGCUGAGAUGAUGGAAGGAUGGGAACUGCCUCCAGGGAGAGGAGCAGGUCUCCUUCAUCAACAUCAGUCUCAGAUGUGUACUAGCGUGUGUGCACUAAUGCGUGUGUGCUAACGUGCGGGUGUGCACAGUGGGAAGGUGUGCAGU